rnacentral:lncRNA from 1 species
AACAGAUUGUGGAUCUUGGGAAGUGUGCAGCCAUCGAACAGAAUCAAAACUCAGCAGAUACCACACCUAACCACCUGGCAUUUUAGAAAUUUCAUAUCGCAAGAAGGGUGCAGUAAGCCUUAUCUGGGUGACAGAGAAAAGGGAACAGUCUUCAGACAGGCAGCUACUGCGACACUGCUUUCUCAGAUGUACUGAUCAUUACUGGGGAACUCAAACCUUAGAAGUAGGAGAAAGAAGAACAUAAAAAUACCAAAGAGACACCCCAUGCCCUGUAUGGAGGAUCUGGAACAUGUUGGAAAAAUCCAUAUUCACUCUCACCUAUCAUCACUCAUGGAGUUUCAGACCCUACGUUUUUGAGAGAGCUUCUGCUGACAGAAUGAGUCCAGCAUAACGAGAAAGUUGCACAAAAAUACUGUAACUUUCCAAAAGUCCAAGAGUUAAAUUAUCAUGAAUAAAAUCUAUUAUAGAUGUUCCAUCAUUCUUCUAAGAUUGGCUGCUGCCUCGGGAUGUAAAAUAGGUGCUUCCUUGAAACUACAAGAGAUACCAAUCAGUAUUAAAGAAAUAAAAAGAUUUAAAAAAGACACGAAAGGCAUAGAAGACUUCUCGUAUGGAGUAUUUUAACUGAGUAAUAAAGCUUAUUAUUGAA